rnacentral:tRNA from 1 species
AUUUAUAUAGUUUAUUUAAAACAUUACAUUUUCACUGUAAAAAUAAAUUUUAUUUUAUAAAUA